GAUGAAGAACGUAGCGAAAUGCGAUAAGUAAUGUGAAUUGCAGAAUUCAGUGAAUCAUCGAAUCUUUGAACGCACAUUGCGCCCGCUGGUAUUCCGGCGGGCAUGCCUGUUCGAGCGUCAUUUCAACCCUCAAGCCCCCGGGUUUGGUGUUGGGGAUCGGCUCUGCCUUCUGGCGGUGCCGCCCCCGAAAUACAUUGGCGGUCUCGCUGCAGCCUCCAUUGCGUAGUAGCUAACACCUCGCAACUGGAACGCGGCGCGGCCAUGCCGUAAAACCCCCCAACUUUUUAUAGUUGACCUCGAAUCAGGUAGGACUACCCGCUGAACUUAAGCAUAUCAAUAAGCGGAGGA
rnacentral:misc_RNA from 1 species